rnacentral:rRNA from 1 species
CCCUUAGAUGUUCUGGGCCGCACGCGCGCUACACUGACGAAUGCAACGAGCUUAUAACCUUGGCCGAAAGGUCUGGGUAAUCUCCAAAUUUCGUCGUGAUGGGGAUAGAUUAUUGCAAUUAUUAAUCUUCAACGAGGAAUGCCUAGUAAGCGCAAGUCAUCAGCUUGCGUUGAUUACGUCCCUGCCCUUUGUACACACCGCCCGUCGCUCCUACCGAUUGAAUGGUCCGGUGAAGCGUUCGGACCGUGGCCUUAGGACGGUUCGCCGUCUGUUGGCUGCGGGAAGUUCGUUAAACCUUAUCAUUUAGAGGAAGGAGAAGUCGUAACA